GAGAAACAGUCGCCCAACUCUGUGCCCUCGUUCGCCGCCGCCGCCCUUCGUCCCCUCACCACCACCGCUAGAUCCCUUCGCCGCCGCUCGGUGCCGCCAGCCCCCGACCUCCUCCCCGUCUCCCGGCGCCGCCCGCCCCCCAUCUGCUCCCCCGAUCCCGGCUAAGCCCGGCCCCCACCUUCUCUCUCACUCUCGGCGGCGAUCCUCGUGGUGUCCCCGGACCGAAGGCCGUCGAGGAUGUAGAGCGUCGGGAGCGCGGCGCCGACGAGGAAUCCCCCAUGAUGUGCGCGGCGAGGAGGAGGCGCUCGGGGCUGAGGAAGACGGGCGCGGACGGGUUGGGCUUCCUGGGCGCUGCGGGAAGGUGAGCCUGGCUAGGAGGAGUAGGUAGGGAAAGGACGGCGGCUCGCCGGCAGGUCACCGGCGCCGGGAGGCGGCGAGGUCGUCUCUCUCGCUCGCCUCUCCCCUUCUCCCCAUCUCGCAUCUCCUUCUUGCACCGUCGGUGCUGCCGUCCAGUACAGAUUACCUCCGCUGCUGAUUGGCGCCGCCACAGCACAACCGGAUUCGGCUCUUCCAUUCGUCUCUUCCCCUUUUCCAUGUCCACAGAUGCAUCGCUGUGCCACCCCAGCGCGCGGCCGCCCCGGCUAAGCCGCCUCUGUCUCCGAUGAUAACUCGACGCGGCGCUCUCCCCGUUUGGCUGCCCAAAUCCCUCUGCCUCGCUGUCACGGAAGUGGACGAUGACGCCUCCUUGAACCAACGCCGAGGAGGUCUAUGACGCAGGUUUGAAGGCGCCUGACAAGCCCAUCGUCGCGCCGCCGACCUGCUGAAAUUCGAGGUCGGCACCCGUGCGAACUCAGGUAACCUUGGUCGUGCUCGAUAGGUAUUGUCACAUCAUCUCAGUUUCUUCAUUUUAUCAAAAAAAAAAUCACAGUUUCUUCAGAUUGACAUGGUCAGCCAUGUACUAAAAAUGUGAUGUUGUUUCUGUAGUUAGCCUUUUAAAUAGCAAGUGGGGUGUGUGUGUUGCAUCUGAUGUGCGUGAGCUCAACCUGGCGAGCUCCUGGGAGAAGGAAAAAGGAGCCACAACAGCCCUGGCGAGCUCGAGAUGACGACGGUGCCAUAGGUGGUGUGGGAGAGGAGAUGGUCUCCAUCCAAGGUCCGAGGACCAGCCAUGACGUCGAGCUGCUGCAGCUUGGAGUCACGAGGGUAUUCGCACCCCGGCGUGUCCCACUACGUGCUUUGGAAGAGACACGCAUCAAUCUCAACAGACCCUGAUGCGUCCACAUUAUUUGUUUCUAAAACAAAUAGCAGCUCUCCGAUGUAGUAAGGAGAAACCAAGAAUGACAGAGCAUCCUCGUGUCAAACUCAACACACCCUGGCAUUUCUCCAUUGUUUGAUUCAGAAACAGGCAGAAACAACUGCUAUAUAUCUCUAAAUUUAUUUAAGGUUGUUUCUCUUAUUUCUAUUCUGAUGUGCAUGCAUCUUCCCUUGCUAUCUUCCAUACACAUAUGUGCUACAACCAUGCCAUUUUGUCCUGUAAGUGUAACAAAGUAGUCUUCAUGUGCGAAGAAGCAAAGGGCUUUUAUGAGGCUAUGCAAUCAUGCUACAUGUUAGUUGGAAGUCCAAUCUCGGCUUGAUUACCGCUCUUUAAGCAAAAUUACUAGUAAUAGAUCUUAUCCUAGAUGAUUCUUGCUUGAACGAUUUUAGAAGCACAACUAUCAGUAUGUGCACUUUAUAAAUGCAAGUCAGAAUGCAGAUGCUGAAAAAAUAUUUUGGAAAUUAUACAUUAUUCAGUCUCCCAGUUUGUGAUUUGCUUUUUGUUUAUGUUGUCCAGAAAUGUACAAAGGACUGACAUGUGUUAUCUAUAGCAUGUCCCCUUUGUCUGAAUGUUCAACUAGAAGAGUUACAUCUCAUUUGGCAAGGAGCACUGCAAUAAUACAUGCAACUCUUCACAGCUACUAGCAUGAAGUUGCACUCAGUCUCUCGCAUGGACUAAAGAGUUAUUGUCGGUAUGUAUCACUAUUUAAUUUUAACAGUCUAUAGGUUUAUUUAUAUGGCAAGUAUUGAUCUCAAGGACAAUAUUGCUGUAACUACUGUCACCCAUUCAAAAAUUUCUUUAGAGGAACUACAGGUAUUUUGCUGACCUGAGCAUUGAAAUAAUGAGUACAAAAGGUUCAGGGCAUAUGCGAAUGAUUGAAGUUUUAUAUUUGCGGACAAGGGAGAAACGCUUAAAAUUAGAAAGGCAGAGUAGAAUUUUAUACUCUGUUGUUGCAGUGUGGCUUUUGGGAAUCCUUAGCACGAUUAUCCCAGAGGUGAAGCUUAGACACCACUGUGGAUUUGUCUGGCUAUGAAUCAUGGUCAUGAAAUACGUUCAUGUUGUUCCCUUUCCAGAUGCUUUAGAACAGACAAGCGAUGAUGCUGGAAUAAGAGGUUCUCGAUUCCCUUUUAUGUCAUAGUUCAUACUACAACACACAUAUACUGCAGCCUCUUAAAUUAUAAAAUUAUUGUCUCUUAGAUUAUAAAAUUUCAUGAUAUCAAAUUGUACGUACUGCAAAAUUUCUCCUUUUUACUGCCUGCUUGAUUGUAUAGAUAGAAUAACUAGAUAAUGAUGCUCCAUGCAUUACUAGAGCUGUUGACAGCUUGUCCACCUAGAUUAUUUUACACUCCCUUCUUAGGAGAAUUUAGCUUAGAUAUUUAGGUGCAACGCAUGUACUGCGAAGCGAGAUAUUUAGUUUGUUUUUCUUGGGUAAACCAUACUCUCGACAUUCCAAAACCUCUACUACUAAAGGUACAAUUUGAUUAUAAAAAAACUAUGCAUGUGCUAAUAUUUUAUACAUUUAGGUUAUGCCAUGGUAGUACCAUAUGCACCAGAGUAAUUUAAAUUACAGUUUUUCUAUGAGCUGUACUAUUUUGCAAUAAUAGUACAGAAAUAGAUUGCAGGCAUCCAUGGCCGGAUUUGUGAUUUCUUAUUCAAAUAAGUUUUUUUUCUAAAACCAAUCUAUUAUUCAAGGAGUCUGAAUUCAUAUUAUAUUGUAUUACUAAAUAAUGCCUAACUGUAAAAUACCAGUAGCAGUUUUUCAAAAAAACAUGGGUUACUAAGAUAUUAUCAAUGUGUUUAUUCAAGCCAAAUACUGCAUGUCCAUGGUCCAUAGAGACUGCAUGUCCAUGGUCGCAGGGAUGAGGGUAGCCGGUCUGCUCUUCGAGCAUGCACUUAAGAUGGAGCUUAAAUCUCUGCACAUGUGGUGCCUUUUUCGGUAUGCUGGAAGAUUGGAUGAAAGCAGUACUGAUCCUUUAGGUAUUUCCAAAUUAUAGACGAUGGCACGUUGGGGCUCCAUACGCAUACAACAUUGUCGACUAUGGCCUGGAUGUGAGUUGUUUUCCGGACCAUCGAAGAUUGGACUGGAACUCUACAAUACAGUUUGCUUUUGAUAAUUAUUGCUGGUGGAUUCUAAGUUCUAACUCGAGACUAAAUUCACGUAUUCCCCACUUGGAAGAUGGAAAGAUGGGAUGCUCCAUGGAGUCCGCCGGCUUCCACCAUCUGUUAAUCACAAUCCUACUACCAACAACUCUUUCCUGUUUUAGUAGCUCUGUCCUUUUGAAGACCCCAGCAAAGACAAAGAGGAAAACUCAUGGUGAAACCUCAUCUUUCAUUGAUAUACUAAUUACGGACUCCCCAUAAAUUUCAAAUGUUAAUCAAAGUAAAUAAGACCAGCCGUCCAUCGUGCAGGAUCCAAGUUCUAAGGUACGUACAGAUUAUUCCUAUUGCCUGCCAAAGAAACUGUUCUUUCUCUAUUUAUCAUCUCCUUAUAAUAGUUCUUUUGAUCUUCCCUGUCUUUUUUCACUACAAAAAGUCGUGCAUCUUCCCCAUCUUUUUUUUGUUCCAACCAACCUCCAAGUCCAUAGUUUUCGUCAACAUGAUAUACUUUUAUUGGAUCCGUGUGCCUAAGGAAUGGUAAGCCUGGAGGAUGUUGUUGAGGCAUGACUUGGUCAGAGAGUCUGCCGGAGCUAAGAAGCAGAGGUACUUCUUACCAAGCUAAACCUGUGAAGGAUGUCACCUCCACCGUCUGGCACCACGCCGUCAUCUCCACCCAAGAGUCCAGGCAGUUUCACUUGCAAGCACACGCUGCUGAGCCCUGUGACGUCGCUGGACCUUCCGGGCUCCCCUGCCCAGCCGGCAAAAAAGAUCAGGCGCCCUGGCGUUGCACCCGCUGGAAUAUGGAAGAUGAAGAUCUCGCAACUGACAGAGCAGACCAAGCAAGACAAUCUCGCUGUCCUGGAGAUCCCAGCCUGAGCAGGUCGAGUCGGCUGCUCUGUAAUAGGUGUGGCUGACAAAGACGGGGGGCGAUUUGUGCACGCGAAAGUCCCUUAAAAUCGAGACAAAUCCUUCGUUGGAACCAUCUCGGUGUUCUUCGCCAGCUUCGUUGCAUCGAGCCUGUGUAUAUACUAUUGGAUCUUGAAGCCCAAAGUCAUUUUCUAUUCCCAUGAUUAUUUAGCAAAUUUAAAAAACAUUGUCGAUUAUAUUAUAUGUAUAUUGUUGGGUAGUAGUUUUUCCCACUAGAUCUGAAUAUUAGGAAGGAUAUAUCUUGUAGCUGGUCAGAUUCAAAAUCAUGUCAUAAUUUCUUUUCUUAAGGGCCUAAUGAUUGUUGUUGUUGUUUCCUUUCAAAAAUUGAAACUCCUUGGUGAUUAUUGUAACUAUCAUAAUUGUACUAGCAAGAUUAUCAGAAUAACUAAG
rnacentral:rRNA from 1 species